AUGGCCGGGGUGCGGAGGGGGGGGUGUUGGGGGGGCUGUCCCGGCCCCACCGCGCGUCCUCGUGGCUGCGCGUCUCCCUUUCCUCCCCGCCGAAGCCCCGGCCCCGUGCGCGCAGCUCCUGGAGCAUCCGCAGCGGCCGUGGGGGAAAUGGAGCACGGGGGUCGGGGGGAGAAAGAGGAACGGCCGAACCCCCGCGACGUCACCGCCACGGCCCGGGGUCUGCAGAGCGGGGACGCGGCUGUGCCCUCCCCCCACCCCCCAAGCCCCGCUGCCACCGCCGCUGCCCGGUCCGGGCGCGCAGCUGCGGCGCUUUCUAAGAACCGUCUGCCCCCGCAGCGCCGCGGGAUGGGGGGAGGAAGCGGCCGCCCCCGGGUCACAUCCUGCCCCGCGCGUCCCCUCCCCGCCGCCACUCGAGGAUCUGGGCGCAGUCCCCAUCCCGGGGGCUCGGCGGCAGCCGUGGGGUCCCCGUGUCCGUCCCGGAGCCGCAGCCCCCCCCCCCGGGGCAGCCCGGUCCCACGGAAGCGCACGCAACGCAGAUGUUGGAGCCAAAAUAGACUUUAUUUCCAUCGUUGUCACAGAUAUAUAAAAAAAUACAACAGCGCGCGCUGCCCUGGGGCUGACCCAGCUGCAGGAAUAAAUACCGUACAAAACUCAGCUCGCGGGACCGGAGCGGCUGAGAAAUUCCGAGACGCAAACGCGGGUGCGAGGGCACGAAUAAGUUACGCUGCAAUAAAUAGGAGCUCGGUGCGGGCAGAGCGGAGCCUCAGCCCCCGGCGGCGGGGCCCCGUCCCGGGCUGCGCUCCCCUCCCUCCUUACCCCACAGCCAAUAAAAUAAAUACAGCUCCUAGAAACGAGCCCCGGAGCGGUGACACCGCCGGCUCCAGCCCCGCAGCCCCGGUGCCGCUCGGAGCAUCCCGGGGGCCGGGGGAAGGACACCGAGCUCAGCCCGGCUCAAACCUCGUAGCAGAGAUACGCUUGUGUUUAAAUAUUAAACAUGGGUGGUGCUGCACAGAGACCCGUGCACGGACGGCAGCGCAGGGCGGGCACCCUGCGUGGGGGCUGGGGGGCGGCGGGACCCCCCGGCCGGAUAAAUAUUAA
rnacentral:lncRNA from 1 species